rnacentral:rRNA from 1 species
AAUCAACGCUGGCGGCGUGCCUCAGACAUGCAAGUCGAACGAUUAAAGCUCUCUUCGGAGAGUGCAUAGAGUGGCGCACGGGUGAGUAACACGUAAGUAAUCUACCUUCGAGUGGGGAAUAACGUCCGGAAACGGACGCUAAUACCGCAUAACGCAGCGGCAUCGCAAGAUGACAGUUGUUAAAGAUUUAUCGCUUGAAGAGGAGCUUGCGGCAGAUUAGCUUGUUGGUAAGGUAAC